GACAGAGGGUGCAAACGUUGUUCGGAAUUACUGGGCGUAAAGCGCGAGUAGGCGGCUAUGCAAGUCGGAUGUGAAAGCCCUCGGCUCAACCGAGGAAGUGCACCCGAAACUGCAAAGCUAGAGUCUCGGAAGAGGAUCGUGGAAUUCUCGGUGUAGAGGUGAAAUUCGUAGAUAUUCGGAAGAACACCAGUGGCGAAGGCGACUAACUGGACAUGUAUUGACGCUGAGGUGCGAAAGCGUGGGGAGCAAACAGG
rnacentral:rRNA from 1 species